GACAUAGGUGGCGAACGUUAUCCGGAUUUAUUGGGCGUAAAGGAUGCGUAGAUGGUAGAACAAGUUAUUGGUCGAGGUCAAGCUCAACUUGGCGGAAGCUGGUAAUACUAUUCUGCUUGAGGACAGGAGAGGUUGGCGGAAUUCUGUGUGGAGCGGUGAAAUGCGUUGAUCUACAGAGGAACACCAAAAAGGGCGAAGGCAGCUAACUAUUCUGAUCCUGACAUUGAGGCAUGAAAGCGUGGGGAGCAAACCGG
rnacentral:rRNA from 1 species